GGCGGUAUAGCUCAACCGUAAAGUGAGUGCUUAGCAUGCACGAGGUCCUGGGUUCAAUCUCCAGUACUGCCA
rnacentral:tRNA from 1 species